rnacentral:rRNA from 1 species
AUACGGAGGGAGCAAGCGUUACUCGGAAUCACUGGGCGUAAAGGGCGCGUAGGCGGUUUGGUAAGUUGGAUGUGAAAGCCCACGGCUCAACCGUGGAACUGCGUCCAAAACUGCCAGACUAGAGUCCGGAAGAGGCAGGUGGAAUUGGUGGUGUAGGGGUAAAAUCCGUAGAGAUCACCAGGAAUACCCAUUGCGAAGGCGACCUGCUGGGACGGUACUGACGCUGAGGCGCGAAAGCGUGGGGAGCAAACAGGAUUAGAAACCCUAGUAGUCC